GCACCGGCUAACUCCGUGCCAGCAGCCGCGGUAAUACGGAGGGUGCGAGCGUUAAUCGGAAUUACUGGGCGUAAAGCGCAUGCAGGUGGUUUGUUAAGUCAGAUGUGAAAGCCCGGGGCUCAACCUCGGAAUUGCAUUUGAAACUGGCAAACUAGAGUACUGUAGAGGGGGUAGAAUUUCAGGUGUAGCGGUGAAAUGCGUAGAGAUCUGAAGGAAUACCGGUGGCGAAGGCGGCCCCCCUGGACAGAUACUGACACUCAGAUGCGAAAGCGUGGGGAGCAAACAGGAUUAGAUACCCUGGUAG
rnacentral:rRNA from 1 species